CGGGCUCAUAUUGAAACCUAGUGAUGUAUGAGUUAGUGGCGGACGGGUGAGUAACGCGUGGAGAACCUGCCGUAUACUGGGGGAUAACACUUAGAAAUAGGUGCUAAUACCGCAUAAGCGCACAGCUUCGCAUGAAGCAGUGUGAAAAACUCCGGUGGUAUACGAUGGAUCCGCGUCUGAUUAGCUGGUUGGCGGGGUAACAGCCCACCAAGGCGACGAUCAGUAGCCGGCCUGAGAGGGUGAACGGCCACAUUGGGACUGAGACACGGCCCAAACUCCUACGGGAGGCAGCAGUGGGGAAUAUUGCACAAUGGGGGAAACCCUGAUGCAGCGACGCCGCGUGAGUGAAGAAGUAUUUCGGUAUGUAAAGCUCUAUCAGCAGGGAAGAAAUACUGACCUUACGGUCAGCAGACGGUACCUGACUAAGAAGCCCCGGCUAACUACGUGCCAGCAGCCGCGGUAAUACGUAGGGGGCAAGCGUUAUCCGGAUUUACUGGGUGUAAAGGGAGCGUAGACGGCAGCGCAAGUCUGAAGUGAAAUCCCAUGGCUUAACCAUGGAACUGCUUUGGAAACUGUGCAGCUGGAGUGCAGGAGAGGUAAGCGGAAUUCCUAGUGUAGCGGUGAAAUGCGUAGAUAUUAGGAGGAACACCAGUGGCGAAGGCGGCUUGCUGGACUGUAACUGACGUUGAGGCUCGAAAGCGUGGGGAGCAAACAGGAUUAGAUACCCUGGUAGUCCACGCCGUAAACGAUGAUUACUAGGUGUUGGGGGACCAAGGUCCUUCGGUGCCGGCGCAAACGCAUUAAGUAAUCCACCUGGGG
rnacentral:rRNA from 1 species